ACUAAAUAGAUACCCCGGUAGUCCCAGCCGUAAACGAUGCUCGCUAGGUGUCAGGCAUGGCGCGACCGUGUCUGGUGCCGCAGGGAAGCCGUGAAGCGAGCCACCUGGGAAGUACGGCCGCAAGGCUGAAGCUUAAAGGAAUUGGCGGGGAGCACAACAACGGGUGGAGCCUGCGGUUUAAUUGGACUCAACGACCGGACAACUCACCGGGGGCGGACAGCAAUAUGUAGGCCAAGCUGAAGACUUUGCCUGAAUCGCUGAGAGGAGGUGCAUGGCCGUCGCCAGUUCGUACUGUGAAGCAUCCUGUUAAGUCAGGCAACGAGCGAGACCCGUGCCCACUGUUACCAGCAUGUCCUCCGGGACGAUGGGUACUCUGUGGGGACCGCCUAUGUUAAAUAGGAGGAAGGUGCGGGCCACGGUAGGUCAGUAUGCCCCGAAUCUCCCGGGUCUACACGCGGGCUACAAUGGAUGGGACAAUGGGUCCCUACUCCGAAAGGAGCUGGUAAUCUCACAAACCCAUUCGUAGUUCGGAUCGAGGGCU
rnacentral:rRNA from 1 species